GGGAUGCCGCCCUCCCUAGGGCUGCUCUGGGGCUGUGGGGACACGGCCAUGGGGUCGUGGCACGGUUGGGUUGGGAGGGACCGUAUGGAUCACAGAACUGUGGGAUCACGGCACGAAUUGGGUUGAAGGGACCCUACGGAUCGUAGAGUCACGUCAUGGUUGGGUUGGAGGGGUCCCUAUAGAUUGCAGAAUCACCGAAUCACGGCACGGUUUGGGUCGGAAGGGGCCCUAUAGAUCACAGAAUCACCGAAUCACGGCACGGUUUGGGUCGGAAGGGGCCCUAUAGAUCAUAGAAUCACUGAAUCACGGCACGGUUUGGGUCGGAAGGGGCCCUAUAGAUCACAGAAUCACCGAAUCACGGCACGGUUUGGGUCGGAAGGGGCCCUAUAGAUCACAGAAUCACCGAAUCACGGCACGGUUUGGGUCGGAAGGGGCCCUAUAGAUCACAGAAUCACCGAAUCACGGCACGGUUUGGGUCGGAAGGGGCCCUAUAGAUCACAGAAUCACCGAAUCACGGCACAGUUUGGGUCGGAAGGGGCCCUAUAGAUCACAGAAUCACCGAAUCACUGCACAGUUUGGGUCGGAAGGGGCCCUAUAGAUCACAGAAUCACCGAAUCACGGCACGGUUUGGGUUGGGAGAGGCCCUAUAGAUCACAGAAUCACCGAAUCACGGCACGGUUUGGGUCAGAAGGGGCCCUAUAGAUCACAGAAUCACCAAAUCACUGCACGGUUUGGGUCGGAAGGGGCCCUAUAGAUCACCUCACUGCACCUCCCGCUGCUGGCAGGGCCGGCUCGCAGCACACCGGACUGCUCAGAGCCCCAUCCCCCCUGGGGAGGGGUCACCCACAGCCCCCCCAUGCCCUGUCCCAACCUCUGCCCCCCCUCACAGUGAAGAAUUCCCUCCUAACAUCCGCUCUAGUCCUCCCCUCUCCCAGCUCAAAGCCAUUUCCCCUUAUCCUGUCGCUACCCGCCCUUGUAAGAAGUCCUUCCUAGCUUCCCCCCCCCCACCCCCCCCAGGUCCUGGCAGGGCUAUAAUGGGCUGUAAUGCCCCUUCCCCAGGCUGCACAGCCCCAGCUCUCAGCUAUAAUGCCCCUUCCCCAGGCUGCACAGCCCCAGCUCUCAGCUAUAAUGCCCCUUCCCCAGGCUGCACAGCCCCAGCUCUCAGCUAUAAUGCCCCUUCCCCAGGCUGCACAGCCCCAGCUCUCAGCCUGUCCCUGUUUUGGAGGUGCUCCAUCCUCUGCUCACCUCUGUGACGCACCAACAGCUCCGUGUCCUUCUGCUGCUGGGGGCUCAGACCUGAAUGCAGCGUUCCCGAUGGGGGCUCAGGAGAGCAGAGGGGCAGGACCCCCCCCCAUCCCCCCCCCAUCCCCCCCCAACCCCCCCAUCCCCCACCCUGCUGGCUGCACUGCUCCCAAAGCAAGGCAGGAUUUGGGCAGCCCUCUUUCAUCGACCCACACCCCCAAACCCUCCUCACAGCCCUGCUGAAGCCAUGCUGCUUACCACCAACCACCCCAUCCUUCUUUUCCGUGACCCCCCUGUGUGCCCCACAGUCCCGCAGGCACAGAGGGGAAACCUCUGCUGUGCAGUUCUCCCCCCCCCCCCCCCCCCCCCAUUUUUCCCCUUCCUGGGAACGGGAGCUGUGUGUCCCCUUUUCCAACCCAUGGGAAUGUCUCCCAAUGCCACCACCUUCCGAAUACGAUGGAGGGCAGCGUGGCGGCAUCACCCCGCAGCUCCCCCUGAACCCAUGGAGGGAUCUCGUCGGCCCCAUAGCACCUUCAGGCCCUACAGCUGCUUUCAGACCUCAUCUUUGGGGGGCAGAUCGUCCUUCUCUCAGUUCCUUCCUUUGCUCUCUGCAGUUUGGGCGCUGCGGGCAGAGGAGGCAUUGAGCACCGCUGCUUUCUGUGUGUGCCUCAUGAUGCUGUGAGCUGUGGGUCGGGAUGGGCCCUAUAGACCACAGAAUCGCGUGGUUGGGUUGAAAGGGACCCUGUAGGUCAUAGAACCAUGGGAUCACUGAGUGGUUGGGAUGGGAGGACCCUAUGGAUCAUAAAACCAUGGGAUCACUGAGUGGUUGGGUUGACAGGGACCCUAUAGAUCAUAAAACCAUGGGAUCACUGAGUGGUUGGGAUGGGAGGACCCUAUGGAUCAUAAAACCAUGGGAUCACUGAGUGGUUGGGUUGAAAGGGACCUUAUAGGUCAUAGAACCAUGGGAUCACUGAGUGGUUGGGAUGAGAGGACCCCAUCGAUCAUAGAACCAUGGGAUCACUGAGUGGUUGGGACGGGAGGACCCUAUGGAUCAUAAAACCAUGGGAUCACUGAGUGGAGUGGUUGGGUUGAAAGGGACCCUAUAGAUCACAGAAUAACAUUGUUGGGUUGGAGGGGCCCUAUAGAUCACUGAACCGAGGGAUCACAACACGGGUGUGUUGGAAGGGACCCUAUAGAUGACAGAAUCACAUCCUUGGGUUGGAACAGACCAUAUAGAUCACAGAACAAUGGGAUCACAGCUAGGGUGGGUUGGAAGGGACCCUAUAGAUCACAGAAUCACAUCGUUGGGUUGAAGGGGCCCUAUAGAUCACAGAACCACGGGAUCACAGCACGGGUGGGUUGGAGGGAUCCUAUGGAUCACAGGCAACGGAUGCACAGCACGGUUGCUUUGGAGAGGCCCUAUAGACCACAGACCCAUAGAAUCGCAGCACGGGCGGCUCGGAGGGACCCUACGGUCCCCAGAACCGCGGCAUCACAGCGCCGUUGCGUUGGGAGGGACCUCAAACCCCCGCAGUCCCACCCGGCGCAGCGCUGCCCGCAGCCGCCGCUGCGCGGCUCCCGGUGGCCACGCGGUGCCGCUGCCGCUCUCUACGUGGGGCCGCCCCCCGUUUCCCCCCCCCCCUCCCCCCCCCCCUUUCCCGAUUCGUAGCGCUGCCGUCAGCUCCGCGUCAGCGCGAGCGGAGGUUGGGAUCUCCCCGAUAACAACAGGAAAAGAAAAGCGACAAAAACUCAAAUCCCAAAUAACCGCUUUCGGGGGACGGGAAACCGCAGAGGCGCGGAGCGCAGCGGACGGUCGCGGCUCCGGGCAACGGGCAAACAAACAGCGCGGCGACGGACGGCCGCGGGACCCGGCGGGCCCAACCGCUCCGCGGGGCAGAACCGAACCGGAGCGGCGGGCCGUCCUUCCGGCCGAGAGAGCCGCGCUGCUGCUCGGGUGGUGCUCGGAGCCGCCGCCAACCGGAGCCUCUGCGGGCCGAAAGCCAUUGAGAAACCCCCGGAGGGCCCAAAGCCCCAUUGAGAAAACUCUCAUAGACCCAAAAACCCAUUGAGAAAACUCCCGUAGGGCCCAAAACCCAUCGAGAAAACUGCAAUGGACCCAAAACCCGUUGAAAAAAAAAAAACCUUCUACAGACACAAAAGCCGCUGAGAAAACUCCCGCGGGGCCCAAACCCCAUCGGGAAAAUUCCUCUGGACCCAAAACCCAUUGGGAAAACUCUCAUGGAUCCAAAACCCAUUGAAAAAAAGUCCUAUAGACCCAAAACCCAUUGAGAACCGCCCCCCCCCCAGGGCCCACACCCCAUUGAGAAAACUCCAAUGGACACAAAAUCCGUGGAGAAAACCCCCAUCGACCCCAAACCCCAUUGAGAAAACUCCCACAGACCCAAAACUCAUUGAAAAAGAAAACUUCUACAGAGCCAAAAUCCACUGAGAAAAAUCCUACAGACCCCAAAACCCAUUGGGAAAACUCCUACGGACACAAAACCUAUCAAGAAAAUACCCAUACACCCAAAACUCAUUGAGAAAAACUUCUAUAGACCCAAAUCCUAUUGGGAAAAAAUCCUACUGACCCAAAACCCACUGAGAAAACUCCCACAGGGCCCAGACCCCAUUGGGAAAACUCCUACGGACACAAAACCCGUUAAGAACCCCCCACCCCCACAGGGCCCAAAACCCAAUGAGAAAACCUCCAUACACCCAAACCCCAUUGAGAAAACUCCCACGGGGCCCAGACCCCAUUAGGACAUCUUUGAUGGAUACAAAACCCAUUGAGAAAAAUCCCGUACACCCAAACCCCACUGAGAAAACCCCCAUCGACCCCAAACCCCAUUGAGAAAACUCCCACAGACCCAAAACUCAAUGAAAAAGAAAACUUCUACAGAGCCAAAAUCCACUGAGAAAAAUCCUACAGACCCCAAACCCACUGAGCAAAUUCCCACAGGGCCCAAACCCCAUUGGGAGAACUCCUAUGGACCCGAAACCCAUUGAGAAAACUCCCAUAGACCCAAAUCCUAUUGGGAAAAAUCCUACUGACCCAAAACCCACUGAGAAAACUCCCACAGACCCAAAACCUAUUGGGAAAAUCCUACUGACCCAAAACCCAUUGAGAAAAUUCCCACAGGGCCCAAAACCCAUUGAGAAAUCUCCCAUACACCCAAACCCCAUUGAGAAAAGUCCCACGGGGCCCAAAUCCCAUUGGGAAAACUCCGAUGGACACAAAACCCAUUGAGAAAACCCUCCUGGACCCGAAACCCAUUGAGAAAACUUCUACAGACCCAAAACCCACUGAGAAAAAUCCUACAGGGAUUAGGGUUAGGGUUAGGGUUAGAGUUAUGGGGUCAGGGUUAGGGUUAGAGUUAUGGGGUCAGGGUUAGGGUUAGCGUUAUGGGAUCAGGGUUAGGGUUAGCGUUAUGGGGUCAGGGUUAGGGUUACUGUUAUGGGGUCAGGGUUAGGGUUAGAGUUAUGGGGUCAGGGUUAGGGUUAGAGUUAUGGGGUCAGGAUUAGGGUUAGCAUUAUGGGGUCAGGGUUAGGGUUGGGGUUAGGGUUAGAGUGUUAGGGUCAGGUUUCAGUUUAGGACUGGUGUUGGGUAUGGGGUUGGGGUCGAGGUUGAUUUAUAGGGUCAGAGUUAUGGGGUUAGAGUUAUAGGGACAGGGAUACGGUUUGGGUUAGAGUUAUAGGGUCAGGACUGGUUGGGGUUAGGGUCUGUGUCAGCAUCAGGUUAGGGUUAGGAUCAUAGGGUGAGGGUUGGGUUAUAGGGUCAGGGUUAGGGUCAGGGCCAAGGUUAGGGUUAGGGUUACAGGGUCAGAGUUGGG
ensembl:lncRNA